UUAAUUGAAACCAAAAAUUGAGGUAAAUUACUGUUAAUAAUUUUAUUGAAUUAAGAUUCCAAUUAAA
rnacentral:tRNA from 1 species